rnacentral:lncRNA from 1 species
CGAUCUAGCCCUUUAAGCCCUCAUAAUCCAAAUUUUACAUUAGAUCCACUCGUUUAACAAGUAGUAUAUCCAAGUUCCAUUUUCUAUCAAAUUUACCCCAAAUGGGCCCAGAAGCCCAUUGGGCCCGAUUUCAGCCCCUCGAGGCCCAACUUAUCGUGAUGCCGAAAAUCAUGCUCUUACCUGUUUCAAUGAUCCCGAUCAUCAAAUUAGUGAAUCUAACUAACCUAUGAGCGUUCGCAUGUUCAAGAGUCCUCGAAAUGCUAGAAUUUUUGCAUUUCGACUUUUCGGCAUAUAUUGAUUUAAGCUACGAAAGAGGGUUCGUUACACACCUGUUUUGUGACGUUCACCAACGAAGUCUCCCACGGAAACCUACAAUUAUCCAUCUUCAUUUUUAAUGUACAAUUCAUACUUAUCAAACCCAAAAUCUACCUUACCACAUUCGGCCAAAGAUCCCUAAUGGCCAUAGUUCACUUACCUUCACAGGGUCUGACGAUAUGAUCCAAGCUUAUCCAAAUCGACACCCCACGCAUUGCUGCUCCUCCAACGUAACUAUUCCACUAUACAGACCAUAAAAAUUAAAUGAAGAAGCCCAAUAAGGCCUAUAUCUCUAAUCGGCCACCUCCCUAAACUAUAGGGGUUUCGGCUUUUGUCAACAGUUACUACUGAAUCGAUUUAGAGUGCAAAUACUUACCACAGUCUCCCUUCUUGAACCGUUUAAAGCUUAGAAGAUAAAGGGAUUGGCCACCAAAAAGUGAAGGGAAAAAGAGGGUUGCUGGUCAAUAAAGAAUCGGCACCACCAAGCUUCACAGGUUCGGUUUUUGCGACUUUUUGGUAGAAGUGGAGGUAAAGAAAGAAGUAAUAGAUGAACGGAAGGGAGUAGUAAACUGGUUUUGGAAAAAGAAAAAUAAGAAAAAUGAUGGAUGGAAGGGUGGUAGGUCAGCAAGAGAAGAAAAAAGAAAAAGAAAAGGCUAAUCCUAUGGUUUACAAAGAAGAAAAUGGCACAACAAGCUCCCAAAUGCCGAAAUACUAACCUAAUACCCCUCUGCUGAAAUCCCUUCUCUAAUCCCCUCUAUUCGGCCAACUCUAUCUCUCUCUCAAAUCCCUAAAAUUUCUCCCCUUAUCACUCCUCAAUCCAUGCGUUUGACUGAUUCAAACUCUCUCCCACAGAGUUCCAUUCGGCUACAACUCCUGCAUGCUCAAAGCAUAAAAAUAACAUCACAUUUGCCAUCACAGGGAAUCAAACCUAAGUUUCCCCCAACCACUUACACGCCACCUUUUUAGCACCCUAGUGGCGUCACUUAGCCACUCUGCCAGAGGCUCUUUUGUGAUACAUUCUACUCACAAUUUUUAAUAAGACUGCCUAUCCAAAGCCCCUAACUUCUUAAUUCUAAAAUUCAAAAAUUCUACCGGGUUUUGGCCAUCACAUGGGCCUUCCAUAAGCCUAUUUACACACUCCAAUUAUGAAUUUCACAAUAAAAUAUCAAAUUUUAAAAAAUUUACCAAAAUCUCGAGAAUCACGAAAAAAACCCGAAAAUCAGGAUGUUACAACUCUACCCUCCUUAAAGAAAUUUCGACCUCGAAAUUUUACCUGAUCCAAACAGUUGAGGGUACUGCUGAUGCAUCGCCUCCUCGGUCUCCCAAGUAGCUUCUUCUUUGCCAUGGUUUCUCCAAAGUACCUUCACUAAUGGGACUGACUUCCUUCUCAGCACCUUGACGUCGUGAUCAAGUAUCUGCACAGGUUCUUCUUCGAAGGUCAAAUUCGACUAUACUUCGAUUUCUACAACUGGCACGAUAAGAGUUGGGUCAGAACGAUAUCGCCUUAAUGGAUACAUCAAAAACGUCAUGAAUACGAUCCAGCUCUAGAGGUAACUCUAGCUGGUUAGCCACUAGCCUUAUCCGCUUAAUAAUUCGAUAAGGCCCAAUGAACCGUGGACUCAACUUGCCCUUCUUACCAAAUCUCAAUAUCUUCUUCCAAGGUGAAAAUUUUAAAAAGACCAUGUCCCCAACCGCAUAUUUAAUAUCCUUACGCUUCAAAUCUACAUAAGACUUUUGUCGAUCCGCUGCCUCCUUUAACCGAUUCCUGACCACCUUAACCUUGUCUUCAGUAUCCGUUACCAACUCUGACCCAAGUACUUGCCUUUCCCCCAACUCUGCCCAACAAGUAGGCGAACGACACCUUCGCCCAUAUAGUGCCUCAUAAGGAGCCAUCUGAAUACUUGCUUGGUAACUGUUGUUAUACGCGAACUCCGCCAAUGGCAAGUUAUCCUCCCAACUGCCCCUAAAUUCAAUAACACAACCUCUCAACAUGUCUUCUAGAAUCUGAAUGACCCUUUCUGACUGCCCAUCGACUGAGGGUGAAAAGUCGUACUGAAAUCCAAUCGCGUUCCCAAUGCCUCAUGCAACUUCUGCCAAAACUGAGAUGUAAACCUUGGGUCUCGGUCUGAAAUUAUCGAUACUGGCACCCCAUGCAACCGCACUAUCUCCGCCACAUACAACUUGGCCAGCUUCUGAAGUGAGUAAUCGGUUCAGACAGGUAUGAAAUGGGCAGAUUUCGUGAGCCUAUCCACAAUUACCCAAACUGAAUCCUUCUUGGAAUGUGUCAACGGCAACCCACUUACAAAAUCCAUAGUUACUCUUUCCCACUUCCAAAGUGGUAUCUUUACUGGUUGUAACAAUCCUGAAGGCAGGUGAUGCUCGGCCUUUACUUGUUGACACGUCAAACAUUUCCCCACAAAUUCGGUCACUUCUCGCUUAAGCCCAGGCUACCAAUAUAGCUCUCGCAAGUCUCGAUACAACUUACUCCCUCCCAGAUGCAUAGCACAUGGUCCACUAUGUGCCUCCCUUAAAAUCAUCAACCUCAAAUCAACGUCCUUCGGCACACAAAUUCUUCCUCGAAAACAAAGAACCCCAUCAUUAUUUAACCCAAAAUCUGGAUUCUCCCCCUUCUCAACUUGCUGAAACCGAGAAACCAACGAUUCAUCCUCCAACUGUUGCUUCUUAAUCUGUUCCACCCAAGUCGGUCUCACUUGUAACUCUGCCAAUAAGCUUCCAUCGUCAUACAAACUUAAACAAGCAAACAUUGCCUCCAAUUUUGCCACAGUCCUUCGGCUUAACGCAUCAGCCACAACAUUUGCCUUACUUGGAUGGUACUCAAUCGAAUAGUCAUAGUCCUUUAACAAUUCUAUCCACCUUCGUUGUCUAAGAUUCAGCUCCUUUUGAGUCAGCAAGUACUUAAGACUCUUAUGAUCCGUAUAAAUAAUGCAUCUCUCCCCAUACAAGUAGUGCCUCCAUAUUUUAAGCGCAAAAAUUACCGCUGCCAAUUCCAAGUCAUGAGUAGGAUAGUUUACCUCAUGAGGCUUAAGCUAUCGUGAAGCAUAAGCGACCACUUUACCCUCUUACAUCAACACGCAGCCCAAACCUAAAUGUGACGCAUCGCUGUACACAGUGAAAUCUUACCAGACUCCGGCUGAAUCAACACUGGCGCUUCUGUCAGAACCUUCUUUAACUUCUCAAAAGCCUCUUGCUACUUAUUUGUCCAAACAAAUGGUGCUCCCUUCCUUAUAAGUUUAGUUAACGGUGUUGCCAACAAAGAAAAUCCUUCCAAAAAUCUUUGAUAAUAACCAGCCAACCCCAUAAAAUGACUACGAACCGAUCUAAGUACGGUUGAAACACCCGAUUCAUUAAAUCCAUGGACGCUGCCGGUGCAUUAGUCAAACCAAAGGGCAUAACCAGAAACUCGUAAUGACCAUAUCAAGUUCUGAAUGCCGUCUUGUGAAUAUCCACUUUUUUGACUUUCAACUGAUGAUAUCCUGACCAAAGGUCAAUCUUAGAAAAUACCGAGACUCCUCUUAGUUGGUCGAACAGAUCGUUGAUUCUUGGCAGAGGAUACUUGUUCUUGAUCGUCAGUUUGUUCAACUGCCGAUAGUCAAUGUACAUCCGCAUGGUCCCAUCUUUCCUCUUUAUGAACAACACCGGUGCGCCCCACGGGGAAACACUUGGUCUUAUAAACCCCCUAUCCAACAGUUCCUGAAUCUGAGCUUUCAAUUCUACCAACUCCUUUGCUGCCAUCCUAUAAGACACAAUAGACACUGGAGCUGUUCCAGGUAACAAGUCGAUUCCGAACUCUACUUCUCUGUUUGGAGGUAAUCCAGGAAGUUCCUCCGGAAAUACAUCUUUAAAUUUUUUAAUGGUCCUAACCGAUUCCAUAGUUAUCCCCUCAGGUUCAGCUUGACUUACAAAUGCCAAGAACGCCUCACAACCUUUCUGAAUCAACUUCUCGGCCCUUAAAGCUUAGACAAAUUGGACAAAUAGUUCCUUCGCUCCCCUAUGACAAUUAUCUCCUCAUCCUUGGCAGUUCUUAGUACCAUUCUCUUAGCAGCACAAUCCAACAUCGCUCUAUGCUUAGUUAGCCAGUCCAUUCCCAAGAUAAGAUCAAAAUCCCCAAAUGGCAGCUCUAUCAAAUCUCCUACAAAUAUCUUAUCUUGUAUCUCUAAAGGCAUCGCCCUCAAAAGUUUAUCUACCUUAACCGAGUGUUCUAAAGGGCUUAUCACCGAUACCCCACUCACAGUCUCCUCAGGAAGCACACCCAAUGCCCUAGAUACAUCACAAGAAACAUACGAGUGAGUGGAACCCACAUCAAUCAAAGCAAUAUAAGGCGUGCUAUGAAUGAAAAACGUAUCGGUUAUAACAUCAGGAGUGUCACCCUCCUCACGACGCUGUGCAGCAUAAACCAAUGCCGGCUGUCGAGCUUCAACAUGUCCAGCACCCCUGCCAGGUGCCCCACGUCCUCGUCCAUUACCAUUGCCACCUCUACCUUGCCCACAGCCUCUCUGUGGUGAUGGUCCUCCUCGCUGUGGUUGGACAUCCCUUUGUUCCGCAGCUAGUUCCUGAACUACUCUCCGAGGACAUUCUCUGAACUUAUGCUCCUUUGACCCACAUCGAAAACAUGCUCCAGUUCGUUUCCAGCACUCCCCCAUAUGCACCCUGCCACAGUCCCUGCAAGCCUGCGGUCUAAAGGUAUUUACUGGAACUGCUUGAACCGGUUCCUCCAUUCUAGCUCUUUUAACAUUCCUAUUUGUAGCACUUGAGGGUCCAGAAUCCCUCCUAAAUCUGGGUCGAUCCUUCUCACGAUUCUGCCGUUCAGUCCGUUUUACUUCCUCGACUAUCUUAUCCUUCUCUACCGACGCAGCGAAAUCACACUCCCUCUGUGGAGCUAUCAGUAUCCUAAGCUCAUCGCGGAGGCCAUCCUCAAAUCGAACACUACGCUCAUAUUCAGACACAACUAUCCCGCUGGCGUAUUGACUCAGCCUCAAGAAUUCUGCCUUAUACUCCGCAACAGUCUUAUUACCCUGAGUCAUAUUCAAAAAUUCCUUUCGACGGGCAUCCACAUAACUAGCUCCAACAUACCUCCCCUUAAAAGCAGUCUUGAACAAUUCCCAGGUUACUCGUUCAAUCGGGGUACUCUCCCUUACAGUGAUCUACCACCGAUAUGCCCCGUCUCGUAACAAUGAAAUAGCCCCCUUCAGCUUUUGCUCCACAGAGUAAUCUAAAUCAUCUAUAAUCCGCUCUGUUGCCUCUAGCUAAUAUUCAGCCACAUUCGGGGCUACUCCAGAUACACCCCUAAAAACUUCUGCUCCAUUAUCCCGGAGUCGUUCCGAGAUGGAUCCCCUAUUUAUUGUCCCAGUGCUAGCUCCAGCAACUCUUUGUAAAACCCUUAACAUGGCUUGGGACAAAGCAUCGUCCCCUGCAGCCCGAUCAUAUGACCCAGUCUCAGUUGCUUGUGGCAUGAAUGCCUCCUCAGCUGGCCUAUGCCCUGAGGAUGAAGAUUCCGCUUGCACCCUUCUGCGACCAUGUUCGCGGCCCCGUCCUCGAGUUCCUCUUGUACUCAUAUCGAAUUAUCUGAUUACGAAUUUUAUGACAUUAGUUUAAUGUUCAAUUGUUUAUUACGAGAUGUCUUAUGGAAAUAUAGCAGUUCAAGGAUUGUUUCCGCAACGUUGUAGCCUAGCUACAGUCUUAUUCCCACUGUUUUAUAGCUCUACCCUAUCUAAAGUAUCAUAGUAGGGUCUCAGUUCUAUUCAUAGCAUCAUAUCAAUAUCACAUAAAUAAAAGAGAGUAUACUUACAGACUUAGUGUCGGGGAUUCAGUGUGCCACUUCUUUCUCCAAACCAUUUAAAAACAAAAACCAUGUAUUUCAUCACAGAAAAUAGAAAUUCUUAAAAUUUAAUUUCAAAUACCUUUGUUUUGAAACUCUUGAUUUUAGACCCGUUUAAAAACCCACAGCCGAGUUGUUGCAACCGGGUUCUGAUACCACUAAAUGUAACACCCCAAACCCAGCCCAGAUGUUAUGGCCGAAUCCAGCGUGCCACAUAGAAGUUAAAAGUCCCCGUUUUCGUUUUAGUCUUCUAAUAAACCGUAUUUGUUAUGUUUAACCAAGUGAAUGGAAGCUGUGCACCAGGUAGGUAUCCAAAAACAGAGGAGGUGAGCCAUGAAGGCUGCUUAAGUACCAGGCUCUUCGGUUGGAUCCAAUCCUAGACAUGCCCACAACCAUUGCCACACUUGGAUAUAACGAGUUGAAAUUUAUUUGAGUGGAUAUCUUUGAUAAACUGAUAAAUAGUGAUGUUGCGUUAUUUUAAAAACGAGUAUCAUUUUGAAAACGCGCCUUAAGUCUAGCCCGUUUGUAUUGUCAUCAGUAAAAUUUAAAGUUAUUGAAAAAUAAAAUAAUCCCAGAAAGAGAAUAAAGUUAAAAUGGUCUUAUUACAACCCAAAAAUAAAUAUUAAAUAAGAUAAACUAGAGAAAACCAGAUACUUAUUUUAAAGUCCAAUAGCGAUCACCGUGGCCACUCUGAAUCCCCUCCGGCUCCAGGUCCCCAAAUCAAGGCUCACUUGCAAGGUUAAGGAAGGGGGUGAGUUUGGAAACUUAGUGUACAACAAGCCCCUUUCAGAGCCCAAAACAAUAUCAGCCUGCUGGGCCUAAGCCCAAAUUCAAUCUCAGCAUAUACUGGGCCGAAGCUUUUACAUUAUUCAUACCACUGGGCCGAAGCCUUUACUGUAAACGAUAUGGCCCAUAGGCCCAAAUCAAUACCACAUGCACUAUUAAUGGAUGUAUGCAAGCCAUUUGGGGAGACUACUCAAUCCACCAACCGCUACUCUCCACCCGUACCAACCAAGCUCUCCAUGUGGGGAAUAACUCAACCCACCCAACCAAACUCUCCACUGGCAGCAUAGCUGCUUUAUCAUAUAACUGGAGGCCUAGCCUCUUUUAAUAACUGGGGCAAAGCCCUUUUUGAUAAACUGGGGCAAAGCCCUUUUCGGUAAACUAGGGCAUAGUACUUUUGCACUUCCUCCAUUCAUAUAAAACCCAACCCAUGUAUAUAUGUAUAUAUCACGGCAUAUCAUGUGCAUAUCAUGGCAUAUUAUGUACAAAUCAGUAUCACAUGCAUCUCAAUUAUAAAUAACCCUAGGGGUAUAAUAGUCAUUUUCACCUAAGGGCAAAAAGGUCAUUUUUACAUUAUAAGGGUAAUUUUGUAAUUUUACCAAAAUAUUAGGGUUUUCCAUGUUCAUUAACAAUUAUCAAUAACUCCAAGCGUUUAAACAAUGAUUUUAACGCACUUUAUCAAAUUCGGGCUUUUGGGCCCAAAACCCCUAAUAGGCCCUACGAAUGUCGAUCUAGCCCUUUAAGCCAUCAUAAUCCAAAUUUUACAUCAGAUCCACUCGUUUAACAAGCAGUAUAUCCAAGUUCCAUUUUCUAUCAAAUUUACCCCAAAUGGGCCCGGAAGCCCAUUGGGCCCAAUUUCAGCCCCUCGAGGCUCAACUUACCAUGAUGCCAAAAAUCGUGCUCUUACCUGUUCCAAUGAUCCCGAUCAUCAACUUAGCAAAUCUAACUAACCUAUGAGCGUUAGCAUGUUCACGAGUCCUCGAAAUGCCAAAAUUUCGGCAUUUCGACUUUUCGGUAUAUAUCGAUUUAAGCUACGAAAGAAGGUUCGUUACACACCUGUUUUGUGACGUUCACCAACGAAGUCUCCCACGGCAACCUACAAUUAUCCAUCUCCAUUUUUAAUGUACAAAUCAUACUUAUCAAACCCAAAAUCUACCUUACCACAUUCGGCCAAAGAUCCCUAAUGGCCAUAGUUCACUUACCUUCACAGGGUCUGAUGAUAUGAUCCCAGCUUAUCCAAAUCGACACCCCACGCCUUGCUGCUCCUUCAACGUAACUAUUCCACUAUACAAACCAUAAAAAUCAAAUGAAGAAGCCCAAUAAGGCCUAUAUCUCUAAUUGGCCACCUCCCUCAACUAUAGGGGUUUCGGCUUUUGUCAACAGUUACUACUGAAUCGAUUUAGAGUACAAAUCGGUACUGGUCAAUAAAGAGGGUUGUUGGUCAAUAAAGAAUCGGCACCACCAAGCUUCACAGGUUUGGCUUUUGCUGCUUUUCGGCAAAAGUGGAGGUAAAGAAAGAAGUAGUAGAUGAACGGAAGGGAGUAGUGAACUGGUUUUGGAAAACGAAAAGGAAGAAAGAUGAUGGAUGGAAGUGUGGUAGGUCGGCUAGAGAAGAAGAAAAAAAAGAAAAGACUAAUCCUAUGGUUUAAAAAGAAGAAAACGGCACAACAAGCUCCCAAAUGCCGAAAUACUAACCUAAUACCCCUCUACCGAUAUCCCUUCUCUAAUCCCCUCUAUUCGGCCAACUCUAUCUCUCUCUCAAAUCCCUAAAAUCUCUUCCCUUAUCACUCAUCAAUCCAUUCGUUUGACUGAUUCAAACUCUCUCCCAUAGAGUUCCAUUCGGCUACAACUCCUGCAUGCUCAAAGCAUAAAAAUAACAUCACAUUUACCAUCCCAGGGAAUCAAACCCAGGUUUCCCUCAACCACUUACACGCCACCUUUUUAGCACCCUAGUGUCGUCACUUAGCCACUCUGCCAGAGGCUGUUUUGUGAUACAUUCUACCCACAAUUUUUAAUAAGACCACCUAUCCAAAGCCCCUAACUUCUUAAGUCCAAAAUUCAAAAAUUCUACCAUGUUUUGGCCAUCACAUGGGCCUUCCAUAAGCACAUUUACACACUCCAAUUAUGAAUUUCACAACCAAAUAUCAAAUUUUAAAAAUUUUACCCAAAUCUCGAGAAUCAAUAAAAAAACCCGAAAAUCAGGAUGUUACACGAGUUAUAUUCCGAUGUGUUCAACGGAUAAAAUUCUAGUGAAAUGGAAGAAUACUCAAGAUGCAAGUGACGUAUUGGUAAGUGUUAUGGAAUGGGCACUUUGGACAGGUAUGUACUUAACCCUCGGGUUGAUACUUGAUACGACAACAAUAAUGUAGUAUGAUGAUGAAUGAUGAAUAGAAAUGUGAUAUAUGUUUUGGUGAUAUUAUGCUAAUGUUGGUUGGUAUAAUUACUUUGUUAAGUUAUUUUUUAUUUGCAUGUGAACUUACUAAGCAUUUAUGCUUACUCCUUCCCUUCCAUUCCUUGUAGUUUUGACAAGUCGAUUUAGAGAUUAGGACGGUCGGAGGCAAGCUCACACUAUCAACAGACCAUCUCGGUAUGGUGGCUUGCAUAUUUUGGGAAUAUGGCAUGUAUAGCAUUAUAAUCCUUUUGUGUAUAUAAUCUUAUGAUAUAGCUCAUGGAUGGCAUGGAAAUGUUUGAGAAUAAUUAGCUAUUGGAGUGGCUAAUCAAGAUUAUAUUUGAUAACACGUAUGCUUUAUGUGCUAACUAAUCUAUGAAAUCAAUAAAAUGGUGAAAUUGGCUAUAAAAUAGAAUCGCAGAGCAGCAGUGACGUGAGUUUGAAAAAUAACUAAAAAUAUUAGAGAUAGAAUUAGAUGAUGAAUAAAAUAUGUAAUUUAAGCUUAAUGAAUCUAUUUUCAUGUGGAAGAAACAAAAUAGGUAAAAGAGUUGUAUUUUAUUAGAUAUUUACAUUUAGGUGAAAUAGGGUCAGAGCAAUUUCUAGAUUCCCUGUUCUGACUUUAUAAAUUCACCAUAAUUUUUGUAAAAAUAAUUAGGUCUCACAAUUUAUAUUUAUAGAUUCCUUAUUGAGUCUAUUUUUAAUUGAAACAAAUAGCAUAGUAUUGGAUUUCUGUACAGAAAGAAAUUUCAUUCGUAGUGUACAGGGGUUAGAGUAGCCAAACCUUGAAAUAGGGGAUACGUUAACUAAUAAACUAUACUAAUUGGCCUGACCAAAAAUUCUAGAAAAAAAUUAAUAGAUAGAUAUAUGAGUCUAGUUUCAGGAAAAAUUUACAGAUCUUAAUUUUGAGUUUCGAAACUCGAGAUAUGAAUUUUUAAGCAACUCUGAUGCAGUUAGCUAACUUGUCUGGAAAUUUUAAAAAAUAAAUUGUUUGAGCUGUUUAAUUAAUGAAUUAAGUCCGUUAACACCUCGUGCUCGACUCCGGCGAUGGUCUCGGGUACGGGGGCAUUACAAUUCAGGUAUUUUUCUAAUAAUGAAAUGAAUAUCCCCCCACACUUAAGAUGUACAUUGCCCUCAAUGUACAAAGAUAGAUAUAAGAAUAGAGAAAGAAGACAGGGAGAAAAGUGAAACUUCCUGUAUGAUGAAUUCCUCGAACUGGAGUUUUGGAGAGUAAUUGGUGCGAGAGUGGAGGAGGAUACUCCGGCGGUGGUAGAGGUUCGUUAGUCCAUAAGUCUUGCGCCAAAAGAAUAUUAUAUCUAGUGGUAGCUAUGGUUAUGGUCGAUCAGGACAUGGUAGUUAUGGAGAACCGUUCCCGAUGGAGUUUUUAGUUCCUAUGCGAUGAUGAGCUUAGGAGCUCUAUAUAACUAUGAUAAAAUAAGUAACUUUUUAUGGGAUAUUGGAAGAAUAAUUACUCAUAAAGAAAUAACUGAAAUUGAUGAUUAAAAAAUAAAAUUCUAAAGUCUAAUAAAAAAAUAAUAAGUAGUUUUAAUAAAAAUUAAAAACAUAAAAUAAUAAAUAAAUGUUUUUAAACAUUUUCAUCACUGGAUGGUUCGCAAGGUGGGACUGGCAAUGAGAUUUGGAGGUGCUGACAAAUCUGCUGUAGAGUAGCAACAAUGUUCUCAAAUCGUUGAAAACAUUACUGCUCGAAUCGAGUGAGGCGCUCAGAGAUGUCAGUAUAUGAAGCCGCCGCAUGAACUAGACGAAAGGGUGGUGGUGAUUGAGACGGGGGGUCCUCGUGCUAUGGAGGGACAUCAUCAGGAAUGUCCUUGUAGGUCUCCUCCUCAGUAGAUUGGACGAGCCGAUAUUGAGGAGGGUAGGUUCCUCGGCGCUUUUCGAUCAUCCUCAUGCUAAGCAUGCUCGAGAUGCCUUGUAGAGACAUCUGGCCAAUGAGGGUUAAGGAUGAUUCUUGGGCGGCGGUGCUGAGGAGCCCGAAGUGUCGAGCCAACCGAGUAACAUAGAGGCCAAUGGAGAUGACGCCCUUCCUAAGCCGCUCCGUCUGGUGCUGAAUCGCGAGGGCGAUAAAAUAGGCAAGGUCGAUGACUUGCCCGUGUAACAUACACCAUAAAAAGUAGGCAUCGUGAGUGUUGACGGCACCAGUGCUCUCUCACCUUUCUGUAAUCGUGUGAGCCAAAAUGGCAUGUAGGUACCUUAGAGAUGGAGGGAGAGUUGAUGCCUCGAAGUGGCUAGGAUUGUAGGUGGCCCCACCUGGUACUAGUGCGUUCCAACACCGUGAAGGAGAACGAUGGAUGUGGCGAUUGAGAGCAUGUAAUUCAUUCUCCUCCUUGAAUUCCUCUGUAUAUAAACCCAGUGUCGUACCGAAUUCUGGGAAGCUAAGCUGGCGGACUAAUCCACCUAGGCGAAAUUGGACCGUGCCGGGAUCAUCGUAGUUCGUUAUCACAGCUUGAAGAUGAAAUGUGGAGCAUAAUUCCAUCGUAAGCUCGAGAUACGUUGGCUCGAUGAUCCCAAAGAAAAACUCCCAAGGGUUGGUGGUCAGGAGGGUCUGAAUCGCUUCAGCCAACUGAACUUGUUCUAUAGCAGCCCAGUCGAUGUAGCAGCUCCCAAUUAAUGGUCAGGUCUAGAGUAUUUGGAAUAGUUCUCCUUGGGGCCCAAUGGAGAACCUCAGGAAAAGGUGAUGAACUUCUGCGGUAGGACCCGAAAAAGAUGACGCUCCCUUCCUUUUCUUUGAAGCAGGGACAACAGCCUUUUUACCACGUGAAGAUGACAUGGUACCUGGAAAUAGAAUCAUCAAGUCAUCUUGAUGAGAGGUCAAAGUAAAACGAAGACAAAUUUUAAAUAAAAAUCAUAAUUUCAGCCACAACUACUAAAACUAACUAAAACAAUAAGUUUAAUGGCAUACUUUUGUGGCACUAGUAUGGUGAUAUGAGUAAAAAUGGUCAGGAAUUUAAUGGAAAUAUAAAGAGCAUAAAUUUAGCACAUGGCAUAAGUUGUAAUGGUAAAUAACAAAAAACAAUUGAAAACUAUGAAUAUUGAUUUCGAAUAGGUGAGUAAGGCAUGAGAGUUUCAUAAAAAAUAUGUCAUGGGGAAUGAAUGAUAACUAAUCUUAAAAGCAAUGAAACUUCAAUGAUAGCAUAGUGUGAGAAACAUGAAGAUUAUAGCAUUAAAAAUGUGUGGAGUUAAAGGUAAAAGAGUGAACAAACGCUAAAAAAUGGAAGAAUAAGCGUUAGGAAUGAAGUUGGAAGCAGUGCACGGGUGUGGCGGGGAGGGCGUAUGGACUUGCAGCGGCUAGGGUUAGGGUUUUUGGGUGAAGAAGUUAAUGAAUACUAUGGCCUAUUUAUAGAUUUUGGGGCACACAGACAGGUAACACGCCCGUGUUCCCCAAUUUCAGCCCGUGUGAUUCGUGAAUUUUGAGUUUGGGCACGUCUGACAUUUAGUACAAGCCCGGUUUCAUUGGGCGUGUGGGUGCACACAGUCGUGUCGCACGGCCGUAUCUGGAGUUGUUCGCUUCUCCUACGCCCAUGUCAAUCUAACAGGUUCGACCACGGGUGCUAAACACGGACGUGUCGCACGCCCCUGUUGUUUUAAAUGGUUCUUCCAUGGUUCUUCUACACGGGCGUGUUGCACGCCCUUGUUGUUUUGGCAGGUUUGACCACGGCCAUGUCGCACGGCCGUGGCUUUUUAUCGUAGCCUGUGUUUGGGAAAAUCGUUGCCCUGUUUUCACACAGCCCUAAGCACACCCGUGUGCUUGGCCGUGUCUCUGUGAAAAACCUAUAUUCAAGAGCUCCGUUAGUAAGUUAGGUGUUGAAGACUAAAUUUUAAAGAAGUUAAUACAGUUAGUACUCGGGGUUGCCUCCCGAGACCCGCUUAUUUAUAGUCUAAGCUCGACCUACCUCUCUACUGAAUGGUCAUGAUGGUUCGAGGAGUUUAUACUCCUCAUUCCUGCUAUCAUUCUCAUCAAAAUAAGGUUUCAGACGGGUGUUGUUUACCUUAAAAGUACCGAACUUGGGAUGACUUACCUCGACUGUACCGAAUGGGAAAAUGCCAAGUACCGUAAGAGGGAUUUUUUCAUUCGGUGUGGUAGUGACAAUGUGAGGAUCUGCGGUAUCUAAUAAGACUUUAUCUCCAAUAUUAAGUUGAUGUGGGAAGGUGUUGAGCUUGUUCUGGCGUAGUUCUGGUUUAUCAUGCGUUCUUAGUUUAUGCGUCCGCCAUUCAUCUAGCUCCUCGAAUUGUAGCCUUCGUUCUUCAUGAAUAAGUCCUCUACCAUUGCUUGAGAAUGGCUCAUGUACUUCCUUGAGGCUCAUUUCUUACAAAGUAGGUUGCACUAUAUUGUCAGUUUUAGUAGAAUGGGUUAAACGAUCACCUUCAAUUUCUGAUGUGUUGCCAGAAUUGCGAGCUUGAAGGCUGAUUGUUUCGUUUCCCACACGGAGUGUGAGCUCACCUGUGCCAACAUCAAUGAACGUUUUAGCAGUUGCUAAAAAAGGCCUUCCUAGAAUUAAGGGAGUGUUGCUAUCCUCUUCUAUGUCUAGAAUAAUGAAGCCCACAGGAAAUAUAAUUUUUUCAAUUUUAACUAACAUAUCUUCAAUAAUACCCUUAGGAAAUCUUAUAGUUUUAUCUGAUAAUUGAAUGCUUAUCCUAGUCUGUUUGGGUUUCCCAAGACCUAAUUGUUAGAACAUCACAAACCCAAAUUUUGGUGAGAUUUUUGAGCCUUUUGAGCAUAUAGCUUUCUUUCUUCCUCACUUCUUUUGUGGUUUGAGUGUGUCAACAUUGAACUGUUAUUCUAGAACUUGCUUCGAUUAUACAUGUCGAUAUCACACGUAUGAUUUGAUAUAUUGAGAUGAUAAAUGCACUUAGGAUUUAACCCACUUACUCCAUAAAAAGCCUUCUCACAUAAUUAAACCCUUAGUGAACCCCUUUUUAGCCUACUAACCUUUUUUAUUAAUUAACCCUCAUCAUUAACCCAUUAACCCAUUAUUGUUGAAAUCCUCUUACUUAAUUUACCCUUUUUUAUCGAGAUUAAAUUUAAUAUUGUUACCUCACUAUGUUCACCAUUUUUUGUUACUGAAUCAUGAAGUAUGAUUUCUAUAUUGUUUCAACUUGAUUUGUUCUUAAAAAAAAGGCUUAUGUAAUAUAGUUCUAGAUAUGUGUUUGUGAUUCAGUAAUUAAGUUUUUGAUAGUGGGGUAAUAUAUUGAAUUAUCUCGAUUCCAACCUUUGUCUCUUCAGCUUGUAUCCAUACCUAUAACCUAAACUUCGUUACAACCAUGCAAAGGCCUUUUGAUUUGUGUACAUAUCAUUUACAAGUGGUGGAGAUUUGAUUUUCAUGCAAGCCUAUGGUAAUAACUUCUCAUGUUAGACGAUUGAGUGCUUAAUCUUGAACCUUAAACAGUUUGAGUGAUUUGAGUGAAUCUUUAGUGAGGAUGUCAUCUCUUGUAUAUUUAGGACUAAAGUUAAUUACUUAGAGGAAGGAGAUUACCUAUGAUUUUCUUAUCAAAAUAUUCGAUUUAGAUUGUUUCAGGCUUUUAAUGCCCAUAUAGUUGAAUUCUCACUGUACGAUUUUCCGUGGAAUAGUUUGUAACUUUAUCAGUAAUAAUUAUGUGAUUGAAAGGAAUGAAUUCUAGCAGUAAAUGAGAGUUUUGCUUGAGGAAAAGCAAAUGCUUAAGUGUGGGGGUAUUUGAUAAACGCCAAACUAUACAUAUUUUUACUCCAAAUACCUAGUAUAUUUAUGGAUGUUUAUUACUAGAUUUUUGGAUUUUGGUGCUCUUAAUCCGGUUAUUUCAUGCUUUAUACUCAGGAGAGCACCAAGAGUCAAAAGGAGCCAAAAACGAGCCAAAAAGGGAUAAAACGGACCAAAUCGAGAAGAUGACACGGCCUAAGCCUUGCCAACGGGGAGCUCACACGCCCGUGCCUUUUGAGGGUGUCGGCCAAGGCUCUCACGAUUCACACGGCCUGGCCAUUGACCCACACGGCCGUGUGCAAUUUAACGGAUCGAACACGGCCUGGCAAUCACGUCACACGGCCGUGGCACACGGGCGUGUCUCUUUUUCAAGGAGCUGUAUUUUACACAGAAAAGGAUAUUUAGAGAGGAAGAAAGCCAAUCCAAAGCCUAUUUGAACACCCUAAGUAUGACUUAGAAAGGGACCCUCUCCUCCAGAAAUUUUCUGGAGUACAGAACCACAUACCGAGAAUUACUUGAAGGAAGCUAGACGAUCCAUCCCAAAAGCCGGAGCUACUCCAAGACUGAAGAUCUCUCUCAGAAUUCCUUCAGGGGUUUUAGAGUUUUCUUUAUGUUUUGUCAUUUUCAUACUUUUGAGAUGUACUCUUAUUUUAUUAUGAACUAAACCCCUUAGAUACCUAAGGGGGUUGAAACCUAUGAUGGAUCUUGUUAUUAUUAUCUGAACUGUAUGAUAAAUACUUGAUUUGUUCUUAAUUAUGUGUUCUUAAUGCUUGAGUUAAUAUUCCGGGUAUUAAUUCAUGAUUUGAUGUGCUUAUGUAGAAAAGUCUCUGUCUAAGAGUAGAUUUGGCAUAAUUAAGCGGAGUUGAUCGAACGCCUAGAAAUAUGGUUACGAGAUUUUGCCGGAUUAGGGUGAAACCUAAUAUGGGAGUCUAUAGAUCGAUUUACUGCUUCCCUAGGGGUUUUAAUUAAGAAAGAGAUUUCAAUUAAUCCAACUGAGGGUUAGACGUUAUUAGUCUCGAAAGAGAUAAUAAUAUAGGUUACGGAGUCUCACGGAUCAAGUCAAGUGAAUAAAUCGUCUGGUUCAGAGUUAGAUAACAAGUGAAAUCUAGGUGAAUUCCUCCUUGGGUGUCGUCUUUAUCAAUUACUUUUCUUCAAGUCUUUUCCAAAUCUUCUCUUUGCCUUAGUUUAAUUAGUUAAUUAGUUUAGUUAAUCAGUUUAAUAAACAACCCCUCUUUAUUUCUAGGUUAAAUAAUAAAAAGAUAAUUAUUACUAGUACUUUUGGUUCCCUUGGGUACGAUAUCCCGGUCUUGCCAUUACUAUACUAUUGUUCGAUAGGUGCGCUUGCCUUUUCGUCGUGAUAAUAGUUAGUUUAGGUUUGAUCUUCAUUAUAAAUAUUUAUUACUUAUUACGAAUCAGGCGAUCAAGUUUUUAACGCUGUUGCAGGGGAACUAAAAUAUUAGGAACGCUCAAUUUUUAUUACUUUAGCCAUUUAUUUUUCUUGAAAUUUAAUUUAUUUUAUUAUUAUUAUUUAUUAAUUUACUUUUUCUUUUUCUCUUGGCAGGUUUUUAUAGUUUAUGACUAGAAAAAACCCAUCAGGACCAUUACUUUUUGACGAAGAAAUCGAUAGAACAGUUCGUAGAAAUCAAAGAGACAUACGGCGAAGCUUACGAUACACAGAAAACGAACAAGAAGAUGAUACUCAACCCCCAAUCGAAGAGAUGGCUGAAAACCAAGGCAAUCAGCUACCUCCUGCAAUUGCAGCUAAUCAAAAUCCUGCUCCACGCACUAUGUAUGAUUGUGCUAAACCUUCUUUAACAGGAACUGAGUCUAGCAUAGUUAGAUCGGCUAUAGCUGCAAAUACUUUUGCACUGAAACCUAACACAAUUCAAAUGAUACAGCAGUUUGUUCAGUUUGAGGGUUUGCAGGAUAAAGAUCCCAACGCUCACUUAGCAAACUUUCUAGAAUUUUGCGAUACAUUUAAAAUCAAUGGCGUUUCUGAUGAUGCUAUUCAUCUUCAGUUAUUUCCUUUUUCACUGAGAAACAAAGCUAAACAGUUGUUGAACUCGUUACCACGAGGGUCAAUUACUACUUGGGAACAAAUGACCGAAAAAUUCUUACUAAAAUAUUUUUCGCCAGCUAAAACGGCUAAAUUAUGUAAUGAUAUCUCUUCUUUUGUGCAGAUGGAUUUAGAAACACUUUACGAUGCAUGGGAGAGGUACAAGGACUUACUGAGAAGGUACCCUCACCAUAGGUUACCGCUUUGGCUUCAAGUACAAACAUUCCACAAUGGUCUGAAUCCCUCGACUCGGCAAAUGGUUAAUGCAGCUGCUGGCGGAACCAUCAACAAUAAAACACCGAAAGAUGCCUAUGAGUUUAUAGAGGAGAUGUCACUGAAUAACUAUCAGUGGCAAGUUAUGAGGACAAAGCCAACAAAAAUAGCCGGCGUUUAUAAUGUUGACUCAGUCACCAUGCUUUCUAAUUAGGUAGAACUUCUCAAUAAAAAGAUUGAUGGUUUACUUGGUUCUACGCAGGUACAUCCAGUAAUAAGGUGUGACGCAAGUGGAAGAGGUGUGUAUACAGAAUAUCAAUCCUUCAAUCCCACAAUCGAAGAGGAACAAGUCAACUAUAUGGGUAAAAAUAACUUUAGAUAUCAAAAUAACCCAUACAGUAAUACUUAUAAUACAGGUUAGAGGAAUCACCCAAAUUUCUCCUGGGUGGUCAAGGGAAUCAAAAGCCACAAAAUACUCAGGGUUUUCAAUAGCCACCUUAUCAACAAGAGAAGAAACCAAACCUUUAGGAUUAUUACUUAUUUUAUAGGCUCUAAUAGUUACCAUGAGUAUUUCCUAAUUAUUUUUUGGAAGAAAAAAAAUAAUGCCUACAAUCUACAAUAAAGUAAAAGGUAAAAAAAUGGCUAAUCAGUUAUUUCUUUCAUCACCCCAAACAAGCCAAUAUUAGCGCUAAUGGUGCGUAAAUGUAACUCAUUAUUUAAAGAACUAUUCAGAGUUCCUAGAGCUCCUUGUAAAGCUUGUUGGAAAACCCGUUGUCGGACUUGAUUAAUCGCUCUUUGUUGUUCAAAAUAAAUGGUUUCAUUUUUGUAAUUUUCUAAUUGUUCCAAAAUCUUAUAAGUUGAAUUAAUCAAAUUCAAUUUUUCUCGUUCUAUCUCAGAGUGUCCAUUCACUCGAAACUAAUCCGCCUCCAUUUCUACUUUCUAUAAGCGGGCCUGGGCCUUUUCCAGCCGUUCAAUAGCCCCCCGGCGUAGUUCUUCUGAAUUUCGAAUAGUAUUCAAGAUCCUCUCUUUUCGAUUAUCUAAUAAAUCACUUAAUGAAAGUAGAUUAUCUUUCCAUUCAUUUUUUUUAUUUCAAAAAUUCCAUGAUCCCUUUCCGAACCAAACAUGAACCUUUCAAUUCAUUUGGCUCUCACGCUCAAUUAUUUCUUAUUUAUUGGGAAUUAAUUCCCAAUAUCUUUUUUUUCUAAUGUAAUGAGCUUACCCUCUCCCUCUCGUCUCUAUUCAUAUUCCAAAAUAUCGAAACUGAUUACUAAUCCAAAACCAGAAUAUUCGGAGGAUUCUUCUGACCAAAAUAAAAAAUAUAUCAAAAAACUAAAAAGUAUAAUAAAAAAUAAUAAAUAAAAAAGUUACAUAUAAUUUGGAAUUUCUAAUUGUACUUAGAAUUGUAUAAUGUAUAAUUGUAAUUUGUCAGCAAAGUUGUUUCUUUUUUUUCUUCAAAUUCAAAGAAUUCUUCUCCCUUUAUACAUAGGUCAUCGAUUCAGCAUUGGAAAAAGGGGCCCAAAUCAUUUUAUCGACAUGAGUGUUUUAUAUCGAAAAAAAAUUUUUGUUUUGAAAAUAUUUCUAUAUUUAGUAACAUAGUAGUAGAAAGAGUACCCUGCUGCAUCUGAACUUCAAACGGGUUUGGCCUUAACCAUGUUAAUGGUCCCAGAUUAUUGGUUAAUAGAGAAUCAAAGUCGAUGUACCAAUGAAUCACAAAAUGCUAUGGUUCUAUAAUAUGAUUUUAAAAAUUUAUUCAAAAGUAAUUCGCGAGAUCAUGCACUCUUUUCUUUCCUAGUUAUAAUGAAAAAAAGUACAACUGGGUGAAUCCAGCCUAUUCUUGAAAUAAACAACUCGCACACACUCCAUUUCCAAAAAAGAUCAAUACACCAAGGACUACACUUAGAUUUAUUGGAUUUGUUGCUAAAAUAUCGAUAUUAACCCCGAAACUCCCGGCGGAUGGCCAGUGACCCAAGGAAACGAAAGAAUCGGUAUUCAUUUUUAUUUUUAAUAAUGAAUAAAUUCAAUUUUCAUUUUUAUUUUUUUAGUUAUCUUAUUAUGGUUAUAUAGGAUAGUCUAAUAAAAGGAUAAGAAUAAAAAUGAAAUUAAAGAAAAAAAGAUGCAACCCAUAGAAUUGAAAUCCAUAUCAUAAUGAGAGACUCAUUUCUUUUGUUUUUAUUCAUAAAGACAGAAGCUAAGACGAAAAAAAGAAUCGACCCUUCGAGUAUUCCACCAAAUUGCCUGAGAAAACUGAGAGUAAGAGGGACAUAUAUAUGUUAUGGAAUACCCAUCUAUAUUGAAUUGCGAAUACAGAAAUGAUAAAAUAUUUUCUGAUUGGACCAAAUAAAAAUUAAUAUGGGUCUCCGAUAGAGACGAAAGACGGAUAAACAAACAAGAAAAUAGGUAAAGACCCUUCGAUAUAAGAAUCUGUAUCUAUAUCUACUAAAUUCAACGGUUUCGCAUAAAAAGAAAGUAAAUAAAUAAACGAAAGAAAAUAAACAAAUGAAAGAAGGGGGAAAGGAGGGAGAAAGGGGGAAGGAGGGGCAUCCUAAUGAGAUCCUAAUCUCAAGACACAAAAGGGGAUAUAGCAAAAUUGGUAUACGCUACGGACUUAAUUGGAUUGAGCCUUGGUAUGGAAACCUACUAAGUGAUAACUUUCAAAUUCAGAGAAACCCUGGAAUGAAAAAUGGGCAAUCCUGAGCCAAAUCCUAUUAUUUUAUUAGUUUACGAAAAUAAACAUGAACAAAGUUUCAGCAAGCGAGAAUAAGAAAAAAAGGACAGGAUAGGUGCAGAGACUCAAUGGAAGCUAUUCUAACAAAUGGGGUUGACUGUUGGUAAAGGAAUCCUUAUAUCGAAUAUCGAAACUCUAGAAAGGAUGCAAGAUAU